AUUGAACGCUGGCGGUAGGCCUAACACAUGCAAGUCGAAAGAGUGGCGGACGGGUGAGUAAUAUCUGGGAUACUAGCUGACGGAGGGGGUCAACUACUGGAACCGGUAGCUAAUACUGCAUACGAUCAGGUGUGCCCAGAUGGGAUUAGCUUGUUGGUGGGGUAAAGGCUAACAAAGGCGAGGACCCCUCGCUGGUCUGUGAGGAUGACCAGCCACACUUGAACAAAUAGACGGUCAAAACUCCGACGGUGGUCAGCAGUGGGGAAUAUUGCACAAUGGGCGCAAGCCUGGUGCAGCCGGGCCGCGUGUAUGAAGAAGGCCUUCAGGUUGUAGAGUACUUUCAUCGGGUGGGCGUGACCCGCAGAAGAAGCACCGACUAGCUCCGUGCCAGCAGCCGCGGUAAUUC
rnacentral:rRNA from 1 species